rnacentral:rRNA from 1 species
UACGUAGGGUGCGAGCGUUAAUCGGAAUUACUGGGCGUAAAGCGUGCGCAGGCGGUGAUGUAAGACAGAUGUGAAAUCCCCGGGCUCAACCUGGGACCUGCAUUUGCGACUGCAUCGCUAGAGUACGGUAGAGGAGGAUGGAAUUCCGCGUGUAGCAGUGAAAUGCGUAGAUAUGCGGAGGAACACCGAUGGCGAAGGCAAUCCCCUGGACCUGUACUGACGCUCAUGCACGAAAGCGUGGGGAGCAAACAGG